rnacentral:rRNA from 1 species
GAUGAACGCUGGCGGUAUGCCUAACACAUGCAAGUCGUACGAGAGUUUUUAACUCUAGUGGCGGACGGGUGAGUAACACGUGAGAAUUUGCCUUUAGAGGGGGACAACAAUCGGAAACGAAUGCUAAUACCCCAUAUGCUUUCGAGUGAAAUGGAUUUUAUCCGCCUAGAGAGAAGCUCGCGGCUGAUUAGCUUGUUGGUAAGGUAAGAGCUUACCAAGGCGACGAUCAGUAUCUGGUUUGAGAGGACGAUCAGACACACUGGAACUGAGACACGGUCCAGACUCCUACGGGAGGCAGCAGUGGGGAAUUUUCCGCAAUGGGCGAAAGCCUGACGGAGCAAUACCGCGUGAGGGAAGAAUGCCUAUGGGUUGUAAACCUCUUUUUUCAGGGAGGAAUCAAAUGACGUGUACCUGAAGAAUAAGCAUCGGCUAACUCCGUG